rnacentral:rRNA from 1 species
AUUGAACGCUGGCGGCAGGCCUAACACAUGCAAGUCGAGCGGAUGAAGGGAGCUUGUGCCUGGAUUCAGCUGCGGACGGGUGAGUAAUGCCUAGGAAUCUGCCUGGUAUUGGGGGAUAACGUCCGGAAACGGGCGCUAAUACCGCAUACGAUCUGAGGUUGAACGUGGGGGAUCUUCGGACCACACGCUAUCAGAUGAGACUAGUCCGGAUUAGCUAGUUGGUGUGGUAAAGGCCUACCAAGGCGACUAUCCGUAACUGAGCUGAGAGGAUGAUCAGUCACACUGGAACUGAGACACGGUCCAGACUCCUACGGGAGGCAGCAGUGGGGAAUAUUGGGCAAUGGGCGAAAGCCUGAUCGAGCCAUGCCGCGUGUGUGAUGAAGGUCUUCGGAUUGUAAAGCACUUUUAGUUGGGAGGAAGAGAAGUAUAUUAAUACCUUGCUGUUUUGACGGUACCAACACAGUAAGCACCGGCUAACUUCGUG